GAUGAACGCUAGCGGCAGGCCUAAUACAUGCAAGUCGAACGGGAUCAGGGAGCUUGCUCCCUGUGAGAGUGGCGCACGGGUGCGUAACACGUAUGCAACCUACCUUCAACUGGGGGAUAGCCUUCCGAAAGGAAGAUUAAUACCGCAUAACAUAAUUGAAUGGCAUCAUUUGAUUAUCAAACGUCAGGGUUGAAGAUGGGCAUGCGUCCGAUUAGCUAGUUGGUGUGGCCACGGCACACCAAGGCGACGGUUGGUAGGGGAUCUGAGAGGAUGACCCCCCACACUGGGACUGAGACACGGACCAGACUCCUACGGGAGGCAGCAGUAAGGAAUAUUGGUCAAUGGACGCAAGUCUGAACCAGCCAUGCCGCGUGCAGGAAGACGGUCCUCUGGAUUGUAAACUGCUUUUGUUAGGGAAGAAACCCUCGGAUGCGUCCGGGGCUGACGGUACCUAAAGAAUAAGGAUCGGCUAACUCCGUGCCAGCCGCCGCCGUAAGAC
rnacentral:rRNA from 1 species